AGAGUUUGAUCACGGCUCAGGACGAACGCUGGCGGCACGCUUAACACAUGCAAGUCGAACGAGAGAAGAGGAGCUUGCUUUUCUGAUCUAGUGGCGGACGGGUGAGUAACACGUGAGCAAUCUGCCUUUCAGAGGGGGAUACCGAUUGGAAACGAUCGUUAAUACCGCAUAACAUAAUUGAACCGCAUGAUUUGAUUAUCAAAGAUUUAUCGCUGAAAGAUGAGCUCGCGUCUGAUUAGCUAGUUGGUAAGGUAACGGCUUACCAAGGCGACGAUCAGUAGCCGGACUGAGAGGUUGAUCGGCCACAUUGGGACUGAGACACGGCCCAGACUCCUACGGGAGGCAGCAGUGGGGAAUAUUGCACAAUGGAGGAAACUCUGAUGCAGCGAUGCCGCGUGAGGGAAGAAGGUUUUAGGAUUGUAAACCUCUGUCUUCAGGGACGAAAAAAGACGGUACCUGAGGAGGAAGCUCCGGCUAACUACGUGCCAGCAGCCGCGGUAAUACGUAGGGAGCGAGCGUUGUCCGGAAUUACUGGGUGUAAAGGGAGCGUAGGCGGGAUCGCAAGUCAGAUGUGAAAACUAUGGGCUUAACCCAUAAACUGCAUUUGAAACUGUGGUUCUUGAGUGAAGUAGAGGUAAGCGGAAUUCCUAGUGUAGCGGUGAAAUGCGUAGAUAUUAGGAGGAACAUCAGUGGCGAAGGCGGCUUACUGGGCUUUAACUGACGCUGAGGCUCGAAAGCGUGGGGAGCAAACAGGAUUAGAUACCCUGGUAGUCCACGCCGUAAACGAUGAUUACUAGGUGUGGGGGGACUGACCCCUUCCGUGCCGCAGCAAACGCAAUAAGUAAUCCACCUGGGGAGUACGACCGCAAGGUUGAAACUCAAAGGAAUUGACGGGGGCCCGCACAAGCAGUGGAGUAUGUGGAUUAAUUCGAAGCAACGCGAAGAACCUUACCAGGUCUUGACAUCGUAUGCAUAGCUCAGAGAUGAGUGAAAUCUCUUCGGAGACAUAUAGACAGGUGGUGCAUGGUUGUCGUCAGCUCGUGUCGUGAGGUGUUGGGUUAAGUCCCGCAACGAGCGCAACCCUUACUGUUAGUUGCUACGCAAGAGCACUCUAGCAGGACUGCCGUUGACAAAACGGAGGAAGGUGGGGAUGACGUCAAAUCAUCAUGCCCCUUAUGACCUGGGCCUCACACGUACUACAAUGGCUGUCAACAGAGGGAAGCAAAGCCGCGAGGUGGAGCGAACCCCUAAAAGCAGUCUUAGUUCGGAUUGUAGGCUGCAACCCGCCUACAUGAAGUCGGAAUUGCUAGUAAUCGCAGAUCAGCAUGCUGCGGUGAAUACGUUCCCGGGCCUUGUACACACCGCCCGUCACGCCAUGGGAGUCGGUAACACCCGAAGCCUGUAGUCUAACCGCAAGGAGGACGCAGUCGAAGGUGGGAUUGAUGACUGGGGUGAGGUCGUAACAAGGUA
rnacentral:rRNA from 1 species